rnacentral:lncRNA from 1 species
GUGUAAGAUAUGAACUAAAUCAAGAACCCCACAACAGAAAUGACUACAAGAACAACAAACAAGAAGCAAAAAUAUUGUAAUAUAUGAGCUAAAUAAAGAACCCUACAACACAAAUGGCUACAAGAAUAGCAAACAAGAAACAAAAAUAAAGUAAGACAAUGAACUAAAUCAAUAACUCCACAAAAGAAAUGGUUACAAGAACAACAAAAUACA